rnacentral:rRNA from 1 species
UAGGGAAUAUUGGGCAAUGGGCGAGAGCCUGACCCAGCCAUGCCGCGUGCAGGAAGAAGGCUUUCUGAGUCGUAAACUGCUUUUGACAGGGAAGAAUAAGCACUACGUGUAGUGUGAUGACGGUACCUGCAGAAUAAGCACCGGCUAACUCCGUGCCAGCAGCCGCGGUAAUACGGAGGGUGCGAGCGUUGUCCGGAUUUAUUGGGUUUAAAGGGGUGCGUAGGCGGCCGUGUAAGUCCGGGUGAAAGCCCGCUGCUCAACAACGGAACUGCCCUGGAUACUGCAUAGCUUGAGUACAGACGAGGUUGGCGGAAUGGACCGAGUAGCGGUGAAAUGCAUAGAUACGGUCCAGAACCCCGAUUGCGAAGGCAGCUGACUAGGCUGUUACUGACGCUGAGGCACGACAGCGUGGGGAGCGAACAGGAUUAGAUACCCUGGUAGUCCACGCCGUAAACGAUGGAUACUCGCUGCGAGCUAAAGAUUGUUCGUGGCUUA